AGUAUAAACCCCUUUACAAGUAUCAAUUGGAGGGCAAGUCUGGUGCCAGCAGCCGCGGUAAUUCCAGCUCCAAUAGCGUAUAUUAAAGUUGUUGCAGUUAAAAAGCUCGUAGUUGGAUUUCUGUUGUAUUUUUAUAAUAUUAUUAAGGUAAUAUUUAUAAUAUCAACAUCCUUCCUAUUAUAUUUUUAAUAUAUAGGAAAUUUUACUUUGAGAAAAUUAGAGUGCUUAAAGCAGGCAACUGCCUUGAAUACUCCAGCAUGGAAUAAUAAGUAAGGACUUUUGUCUUUCUUGUUGGUUCUAGGAUAAAAGUAAUGGUUAAUAGGGACAGUUGGGGGCAUUCGUAUUUAACAGUCAGAGGUGAAAUUCUUAGAUUUGUUAAAGACGA
rnacentral:rRNA from 1 species